AGGAUUUUAAGUUAUAUUUAAACUGUUAACCUUCAAAGUUAUCUAUGCUUUUCCGGUAAGUCUUA
rnacentral:tRNA from 2 species